rnacentral:tRNA from 2 species
GCCAUGUUAGUUUAUGAAUAAAAUGUGUGAUUUGUAAUUAUGAGAAAAGUGUGGCU